CAGAAACACAAAUAAAAUAUGUAACUUUAAUCUCCUUGGGGCUUAGCCUGCCCUUUAUGAGUCGGAUUUUUUUGGCUAAGAUAUUGAGUUGGGUCUGUGUGGUGUUUUCUGUUGUAUGCUAGCCUGUACCUUGUACAUAGGCUACCAUACAGUUAAUAAGAUGGCAUGUGUUUUGUUACACCAUAAGAACCAAGUUUAUGUCUGUACAAAUUUGCUUUGGUUGCAGGUGCUCGUGUGUAUUUAUGGUGGGUAUGUAUAGGCUGUACUAAAUGUUUUGUGUAUGUAUUUUCCAGAAAGGUUGCAAGGGACUGGAGUGUGAUGAACUGACACCCUGUUCAGCAGGUAUUCCUACUUUGUACCAAAUGAUCAUCGGUAUGCUCUGGACCACCACAACCCUGACUUGGAAAAAGAAGAUAAGAAGAUUAAUAAAAUGGAAGGAUCAUGGCUGGUCCAGACUCUACACGGAAUCACUGGAGACAAGGCAGGAACACCCCCUGGACAGGGCACCAGACUAUUACAUGGAGGCCACGUUACGCGUCUUUACGUGCUUACGUUACACGUACAGCCUCUAAAAGAGAAUCUGACUCAGUUUUACUGAACGCGAGCUGCUGGUGGAGCAAUGGAGACUUCAGAAG
ensembl:lncRNA